AUUGAACGCUGGCGGCAGGCCUAAAACAUGCAAGUCGAAAGCGUGUCUGACGGGUGAGUAGUCUAUGGGAAACUGCCUAAUGGAGGGGGAUAACUACUGAAAACGGUAGCUCAUACCGCAUACCAUCAGAUCUGCCCAGAUGGGAUUAGCUUGUUGGUGGGGUAACGGCUCACCAAGGCGACGAUCCCUAGCUGGUCUGAGAGGAUGACCAGCCACACUGGAACUGAGACACGGUCCAGACUCCUACGGGAGGCAGCAGUGGGGAAUAUUGCACAAUGGGAGCAAGCCUGAUGCAGCCAUGCCGCGUGUAUGAAGAAGGCCUUCGGGUUGGAAAGUACUGUCAGCGGGGAGGCGUUACCAGUAGAAGAAGCACCUGCUAACUCCGUGCAAGCAGCCGCGGUAAUUC
rnacentral:rRNA from 1 species